GUGCCAGCAGCCGCGGUAAUACCGGCAGUCCGAGUGAUGGCCGAUCUUAUUGGGCCUAAAGCGUCCGUAGCUGGCUGAACAAGUCCGUUGGGAAAUCUGUUCGCUUAACGUGCAGGCGUCCAGCGGAAACUGUUCGGCUUGGGAGGGGAAGACCUGAGGGGUACGUCCGGGGUAGGAGUGAAAUCCUGUAAUCCUGGACGGACCACCGGUGGCGAAAGCGCCUCAGGAGGACGGAUCCGACAGUGAGGGACGAAAGCUAGGGUCUCGAACCGGAUUAGAUACCCGAGUAGUCC
rnacentral:rRNA from 1 species